rnacentral:tRNA from 1 species
UGUCUCUAUACCUCAGCUGGAUAGAGGGUUCGCCUCCUAAGCGAAACGCCCCCGGUUCGAACCCGGGUAGGGACAUCC